UGCUGCUGUAUGUGCAAGAGUGAGUUUGUGCUGAGAACUGCAGCUGGGACCAGGGGCUGCCCAGCUCCUGGGACAAUAUCUGUGCACAAACGAUUUCUAAGCCAUUACAGCUGAAACUUGCUCUUCUUCCAGGUCCAUGCAUGUUAAAGCAAGUUCAUGCACAGUGUCCUGAAGGAGAGGGAUCUUUCCAGCCUUCCAGGUCCAUGCAUGUUAAAGCAAGUUCAUACACAAUGUCCUCAAGGAGAGGGAUCUUUCCAGCUAAGACUGGGGGGGAUGAAGCACUGCAGAGCACAUUUUGUAUGUACCAGCUCUGAGAUCCUGAUCAAAACUCAGAAUUCCUCACUCCUGGAUCUCACUGUGCCACAGGUGAUGGAGAUGGCAUCUGACCUUUUUGGCUUUACUGACUCUCCAGUGUUCCCCACUCCUGCUGCAGGAGGUGCUGGUGCUCACUGCUGAAACCUGGCUCCUGUUCCCGGGUGUGUGACCCUGUCCCUGCCUUGGGUGGGCAUGAGGAGCUUCCUGAUUUCAUUUCCUUUCUGAUUUUCAAGCAAGUCUCCCAGAGAAACACACACAUGUCCUGUUUGCUGCGUUUUUUUGGGUGUGAUACAAGUAAGGAAGGGUUUUCUGCUGAGGAGGAGAUAAGCUCAGAAGACCUGAGAAUGAGAAAAUCUAAUUACCAUUCUGCUAUUGCUCAGCAUGACCUGUUUAACUUUCAGUCACUUCCUCAAAAGUGACUACAGGUACAGGAAGAAAAGAAUCCAUCUGUGGAAUUCUCCUGUGCAAGAUGACAAAUGCUCAGCUGGGAAGGAGGUUUCUUCCCCCAGUCAGCUGCAGCAGCAGAGGAUGCACAGUGUCAGAGGUGGAGGUGGCCAAAAUUAUGCCAAAGAAUCCUUGAUGCUGUCCUGUGUCUGAGCACCAGGGCACUGAAUACUGAGCAGGUAAAACAGACACCCUCUGUGAGCUGUGAUGUUGGAGCUGCUGUGAUUUACCCUGGAGGAGUUGUGAACAGCAUCUCCAAACCCUGUGACUUUUCAGGGCGAUUUCUGGAAAUGGGAGAAGGUUUCCCAGGGGGAGCAAAGCAGUUUGGAAAGCUGCUGCUGGUCCAUCCUCUCAGACCUGGGGGGUUUGUGCCUCCUUAUUUCCUACCACCUCUGAAGUGCGGGUCACCAGUGCCCAUACCUGCUGCUGAUGUUGCCCCUGGCAACGCGGGGAAGUGAAGGACUCCUGCCGACCCCGACCAACGUGGGAACAGGAGUCUCAGCCUCACUGACACCUCCCAAGUCCCAAAUGGGCUUGUUGUUCUAGGGGUGUCCCUACUACCUGCUCAGCAGUGAUGGGGAAGAGACAGUUCGGUGCUUUACAGAGCUGAUCCUCUCGCUCGUUAAAUACAGUGGUCUCGGAUCUACGUCUGGGUCGGUUCGUGGUUAUGAAGGUUUUUCUUUCUUUGCUGGAUCUCUCGGUAGAAGAGGCUUACGGGUGCGAGUGGUGAUUUCCAUCAUGGGCGUCGCUGGUGUGACAGCGGAGCGUUACAUACUUAACAAGUUAACAUCGUGAACAAUGUCACAAGAUACACAGCAAUUUCACAAGUUAACAUCGUGAACAAUGUCACAAGAUGCACAGCAAUUUCGAACACUUUAACCGUCUUUAAUGAAAAACGUGAGGUAAGUGACUAUUUGGGACCCUUUGAUACCCUGGCAGUUCUCAACGAAAGUUUAUUUACUACAACAAGACCAGGUAUUAUAAAGACCAGGGGAAGAAACAAGGUAUGAAACACAUUUAGGCUUUGACUUUCCAAGUGGCAAUCUCAAUUUCCCCACUGCAUUCCCCAAAUAUUUCCUCCCUGGUGAUCCUGGCCAUCCCUGACCCAAAGCCCUUCAGAACUGACCAGGACAUUUGGGAUUAAUGACUGAGCUUUAGUGCUUCCAUCCACAAAAUGGAUAUUGCUCAUCUGAAGGUUAUGGUCAGAGCUGAUGACUCUAAAGCUCCUUAAAGAUACGAUGCUGUAAAAAUUGUAAAGGCUGUUGAUGGUUUAUUAUUUUUUAUCUGUAAUAUUUAUUGCCUUUCACUGCCUUCUUGCAUAACAUAGCAAAUGUUGUUCUGCUUCCUGAAAACGUGUGGUAAAUCAACUGAUCCACUGUUGUUUUCAAGUAUCCUUACUUAGUGUUAGUUUUCAUGCACAUGUUGUGAAAUCUAUGUAAAAUAUGCCUUAAAUAGCUGAAUAAAAUAAAUGCCAGGGCUCUUACAGCUUUUUCCACCUGCUUUCAAUGCAGAGCUGCCAAACAAUUUCAGUGGUUUAUAGCCUGUUGCCCAAAAUCAAAUUCUGUGUUACUUUUGGUUUAAGGGCUAAUAGCUUUUUGAAAUAUAUUAGUGUUUUCUGGUGACAGAUCCAAGAUUAGCUGUUUAUCCAUUGUUCCAAGAGGUAUUCUAUAAUCCUGUGGCACAGUCAACUUUAUGAGAAAUUUUACAAGCUUUCCUGAGCGCAUUGUGUUUUAAAAUGCUAAAAAAGCAGUUAAGGAGAGAGGAAAACAAAGCACUGCAGUGUGUCCCUCUGAUGUUCCAUUGGCCUUUGAAGUGCUGGGGAGUGAGGAGGGAUGACUGCAGGAAUGACUGCAGGAGGAAUCACUUUGCCCAGACAGACUGAGGAGCCAGCCAGCCAAAGUUUUUAAGUGCUGCAGAACUGCUUUACUGGAGGAGUAUUUGCCUUAAGACAAUGAACAGCCAGAGUGGGGGAGCCCAAGUCACUGCCAGACCUUGAGCACGUCCUUGGGAGCAGCAGCACUGAGAGAAUGGCAUCCAUUGGGUUGGUGUCAGUCAAUCCUGAUUUUUUCACGUGGUGAGAUCAAAACCAGAGUGGGCAGCAGAUUGAGGAGGGGAAUUCUGCGAGGAGGAAUUGGGGGAAUUUGGCUCUUUGAAUUUUUUUUUUUUUUCAUUGGCAGAUGGCUUUUAAGUGAUUUAUUGGCCAAACCCAAUCAAUUUUCAUUAGAAAGCAAGUAUUUAAUGACUUUGGAGGUGGGGACUGAAAACAAAGAAGUGCUAAUGGAGCCGACGGUGCUGGGUGACACAGCAGAGCAGCCCUUCAUCAAACAGGCUUUAAAGAGUGUUUGAGAGCCGGUGCUGAGGGCGAUGAUUUCCUUUCAUGUGCGCUUUAAUUCACCGUCCUCUGCAGUCAGUGGUGCAUAACUAGGGCUAGACUGAAUUAGAGGAGAAAUGGAUCCUUGCUCUCAUCCUCACGGGCUGCAGCAGUGCUGGAUGCCCCGGGAGCUCCCAGCUGGCUG
ensembl:lncRNA